rnacentral:rRNA from 1 species
CCUACGGGAGGCAGCAGUGGGGAAUAUUGCACAAUGGGGGCAACCCUGAUGCAGCAAUACCGCGUGUGUGAAGAAGGCCUGAGGGUUGUAAAGCACUUUCAAUAGUGAAGAAAAGCUCAUGGUUAAUACCCAUGGGUCUUGACGUUAACUAUACAAGAAGCACCGGCUAACUCCGUGCCAGCAGCCGCGGUAAUACGGAGGGUGCAAGCGUUAAUCGGAAUUACUGGGCGUAAAGCGUGCGUAGGCGGUUUACUAAGUCAGAUGUGAAAGCCCCGGGCUUAACCUGGGAACUGCAUUUGAUACUGGUAGGCUAGAGUAUGAUAGAGGGGGGUAGAAUUCCUGGUGUAGCGGUGAAAUGCGUAGAUAUCAGGAGGAAUACCAGUGGCGAAGGCGGCCCCCUGGAUCAAUACUGACGCUGAGGUACGAAAGCGUGGGUAGCGAACAGGAUUAGAUACCCUGGUAGUCCACGCCGUAAACGAUGAGAACUAGCCGUUGGGGUCUUGAGAUCUCAGUGGCGCAGCUAACGCGUGAAGUUCUCCGCCUGGGGACUACGGCCGCAAGGCUAAAACUCAAAUGAAUUGACGG